rnacentral:rRNA from 1 species
GGAGGGUGCAAGCGUUAAUCGGAAUUACUGGGCGUAAAGCGCACGCAGGCGGUCUGUCAAGUCAGAUGUGAAAUCCCCGGGCUCAACCUGGGAACUGCAUUCGAAACUGGCAGGCUAGAGUCUUGUAGAGGGGGGUAGAAUUCCAGGUGUAGCGGUGAAAUGCGUAGAGAUCUGGAGGAAUACCGGUGGCGAAGGCGGCCCCCUGGACAAAGACUGACGCUCAGGUGCGAAAGCGUGGGGAGCAAACAGGAUUAGAUACCCUGGUAGUCCACGCCGUAAACGAUGUCGACUUGGAGGUUGUGCCCUUGAGGCGUGGCUUCCGGAGCUAACGCGUUAAGUCGACCGCCUGGGGAGUACGGCCGCAAGGUUA